rnacentral:lncRNA from 1 species
GAAUAAUAUGGCUGGGAUAGGGUGGCCUUAGAAUCAUCAUCUCUCUCAUUUUCUCUUUGAAUAAUAUAGAUUAAAAAAAAAAAUAACAAAUUUUCAAAAAAAUCGAUCAUGGAUUAAAAAAAAAUCACAAAUUUUCAAAAAAUUCUAUCAUGGAUUACAAAAAAAAAUUCGAUCAUGGAUUAAAAAAAAAAAAUCACAAAUUUUCAAAAAAUUUUAUCAUGGAUUACAAAAAAAAAUUCGAUCAUGGAUUACAAAAAAAACAAAAAAUUCAAUCGGGG